GACGAACCGUGCGAACGUUGUUCGGAAUCACUGGGCUUAAAGGGCGCGUAGGCGGUCUCCCAAGUCCGGGGUGAAAUCUUUCGGCCUAACCGGAAAAGGGCCUUGGAUACUGGGGGACUCGAGGGGGGUAGGGGCAAGCGGAACUUCCGGUGGAGCGGUGAAAUGCGUUGAUAUCGGAAGGAACGCCGGCGGCGAAAGCGGCUUGCUGGACCCCAUCUGACGCUGAGGCGCGAAAGCCAGGGGAGCGAACGGG
rnacentral:rRNA from 1 species